GAUGAACGCUAGCGGGAGGCCUAAUACAUGCAAGUCGAACGGUAAAUGGUAGCAAUACUAUGAGAGUGGCGUACGGGUGCGUAACGCGUACACAACCUGCCUUGUACUGGGGGAUAGCCUCGGGAAACUGAGAUUAAUACCCCAUAAUUUUACGAUGUGGCAUCACAUUGUAAUUAAAGCUCCGGCGGUACAAGAUGGGUGUGCGUCCGAUUAGGUAGUUGGUGAGGUAACGGCUCACCAAGCCGACGAUCGGUAGCUGGUCUGAGAGGACGAUCAGCCACACGGGCACUGAGACACGGGCCCGACUCCGACGGGAGGCAGCAGUGGGGAAUAUUGGACAAUGGGCGAAAGCCUGAUCCAGCCAUGCCGCGUGUGUGAAGAAGGUCUUCGGAUUGUAAAGCACUUUAAGUCGGGAGGAAGGACUGUAGGCUAAUACCUUGCAGUUUUGACGUUACCGACAGAAUAAGCACCGGCUAACUUCGUGCCAGCCGCCGCGGUAA
rnacentral:rRNA from 1 species